GUCAAAAACGACACUUUCGGGAACCCACCGGAUCCCAUCAGAAAUCCGCAGUUAAGCGUGCUGGGACGAGAGUAGUCCUAGGAUAGGUGACCCCCUGGGAAGUUAGGGCGUCACAGAUG
rnacentral:rRNA from 1 species